GGCGGAGUGCGGAGGCACCGCUAGGCGGAGGAGGGAGGCGGCGGCGAGGGAGGCUCCAGUGCUCGCCCGGAACCUUGUUGCCAGGGGAGACCGGGCGCUUUACGGCAGCGCGUUUGAACGGCGGCGGGGGAAAAAGUUGCGCCCGCAGCUCCAAUGGGGAGACAAACAGCUGGACGAGUGUGACGCUGUUCUUGCUGAACCUGCCGUUCUUGCGCUUUCCUGAGUCAUACUUCCCGCUUUCGCGAAGAGGAGAAGAGGUAUAAAAUUCUAUGCCCCUAAAAGAAAAUAAUAAAGGGAAAGGAGCAAUUUUUUCACGAAUAAUUAAUGGAAGACCUCCUUUGGGCUUAAUAAGCUUAUUUAAUGUGUUAAAAAUUAAA